GAUGAACGCUGGCGGCGUGCCUAAUACAUGCAAGUCGAGCGAACGGACGAGAAGCUUGCUUCUCUGAUGUUAGCGGCGGACGGGUGGGUAACACGUGGAUAACCUACCUAUAAGACUGGGAUAACUUCGGGAAACCGUAGCUAAUACCGGAUAAUAUUUUGAACCGCAUGGUUCAAAAGUGAAAGACGGUCUUGCUGUCACUUAUAGAUGGAUCCGCGCUGCAUUAGCUAGUUGGUAAGGUAACGGCUUACCAAGGCAACGAUGCAUAGCCGACCUGAGAGGGUGAUCGGCCACACUGGAACUGAGACACGGUCCAGACUCCUACGGGAGGCAGCAGUAGGGAAUCUUCCGCAAUGGGCGAAAGCCUGACGGAGCAACGCCGCGUGAGUGAUGAAGGUCUUCGGAUCGUAAAACUCUGUUAUUAGGGAAGAACAUAUGUGUAAGUAACUGUGCACAUCUUGACGGUACCUAAUCAGAAAGCAACGGCUAACUACGUG
rnacentral:rRNA from 1 species